rnacentral:lncRNA from 1 species
GAUGCCAAUACGUUUUCAUAAAUCAAACCGGUAUAUAGGAUAUAGUUGUUAUGAUAUUCGAUUGAUAUUAUAUUAAAUGGUCCAUUAAUGAUUGAGUAAUGUUAUUAAGAAAUAAAUGAAACAUCUUAUUUCCCUUUUUAAAAAUAUCACACAUGAAUCAAGAUUGUGACUUCUGUUUUAUUAUAUAAGAUGUGAUACAUGUAUCAUUUAAUUUGUAUAUAUAUUAGGUGAUUUAUCAUUGAUGUCAAUUCGUUUUCAUAAAUCGAACCGGUAUAUAGGAUAGAGUUGUUAUGAUAUUCGAUUGAUAUUAUAUUAAAUAAUCCAUUACUCAUUGAGAAAUGUUAUUAAGAAAUAAAUAAAACAUCUAAAGAAGGUAUAUUUUUUCAUUGAAUAGAUUGUUUCAAACUUUCACAUGUAUUUGUAUCUUCUUCUAUAUAUAUAUUUUCAGAUUAUUAUUUCAUUAUUAAAAUUGUA